AAAUGUACAGAGCAGAAAAAACCCAUUACUUCCCAUAGGAUAAAUCAGAAACAGGUAAGAAUUUUUUAAACAUUACUCCUUAAUAAGAACAUAAGCAACAAUAACAAUAGCUCCAUCUUUAAAAGCUCAAUUUCAAAACUCUUUUCUGAAUAGCAGACAUUCUUCUUUCCUAUCAAGAAAUGUGAACUUUAAGAACAGAAGUACUUAAGUGUAAGUAGCUCCAUGCAUUCUCUAUGCACAUCAAGUCAUUCAGUGCCAAGGUGAGGCUUAAAGGUGGUGAUGAGGUGAGCUACAGAAGAGGGGAAGUGCAAGUGAAGGGACAGCAGCUGAAUCCAGGGCUCUGCAAAAGGAGGAAGGGGACAGAAUGUCAGAGAUAGAAGAGAAAGGAGACUGUUACAUCAAGUCCACAUUUUUUUUUGUUUCCUCCCUCACCCAUUAUUUUAAGGGUCCUGAAUGAAAAAAAAAGCAGCAGAUAUUUUACUAGGUCAGAAGCAGUUACUAAGCGUUCAGUAUUCCUUUGAAAGGGGCCAACAGGUGGGCAAGUUACACCUACUGGAGUGUAUCGAUAGUAUGCAAGGAAUAUGGAUGAAUGCCACUUUUUGGCACAAAAUAACUGAGACUCACUCAGUUACUAAACCUUACUCAUGCAAGAUUGCCUUGUGAGAAUGAUUUCCUUCUGUCACUUUCCCUGUUUUUUUUUUUUUUAUCUUUUUCAACCUUAUGUUAUCACUCUUCUUGUAGUUCAUAGGUUGCUUCAAAAGUAAUGCCUCUUAUUUCUUUCCCCAGAAACUACAACAGAUACAAAGAAUAUAGUAACAAAAUUGGACAAAAUUGGAUAGUGCAUAACCAGAGCUACAAAACACUUCCACAGUACAGUCACCACCAUCACCUACACAUUUUCACCAGCGAUGAACAAGAGUUGGCAUGCCAUGCUCAUAAAAAUCUGCACCAGCAGAAGUGACCCACUGUUUCAUAGCUGCUAUGAUGGCACUGUUGCUAGGUAAAUGUUGCCCAUACCUCACUGUGUUUAUAUCCAGUGUUUGGUCUUUAUAAACAUCCAGCAAGCAUUGAUUAAUGUCAAUGGGUGCCACUUUUUCCUGCAUGGAGGAGUUUGAUUCCACACCUCUGCAUCAUACACAAUUCCAUGUCAGAGGCCAUUCUGUCAGACUGCUUCUCUGUCACACUGCAACAAAAUGGAACGGGAUAGUGGCAGGAAGGUUCAACCUCUGCUGCCAUAUCACCAACAUCUGCCUCUGACAUUGAGAGCCAAUAUAUUAAAAUAGGAGGUGUUACUUUCAGAGCAGCCCUUGUACCUUUCACUGAUAACCUACCCUACAUGGUUUCUACACCACUGGUCUGAUACAUGGAGUGUUUUGGCCUUUGUCCACAUUUUGUUCACGGUGUACAUAGACACACUCAUAAUUUGCAGGCAGACUCAGGAAUCAUCCCUGAGCUCAGUUGUUUACUCCUUUGUCUUGUAGUAUCAAGCAACUUUGACUUGGAUCACACAGAACUCACCUGUAUGAGACGAGAUUAUUUUGAACAAGCAGCAGUUAAGCCCUCACUGCAGCUGUACAGGAAUUUUGUUAAGCCUGUUUAAAUGAAAAGGAUCCUGUCAUUUUCCCUACCUUGAGUCUCUACAUCAUUCAUCACACAGUGAACUCUAGAUGCUGAAGACAGAUGGACCACCAGAUGGACCCUGGGAAGGAUUGGUUAAAAUGUCAGUGAUAAGCUAACAGAAUGAAAUGCAGUAGACUGAGGAGACUAUUCUGCUGAAAACCAUCUACUGAAAUGGGGUUUGUAUUAUUCACAUUCAUUAAAGCACACUUCAACUGUGCUGUUUUGACAUUUUCUGUUUCGAGACUUUCAAGUCAAGCAGCUCUGUGUUUGCUGUUUUGCUGAGGUUUUUUUCUUUUCCAAAUGGUUGUUUGAUGAUAGAUUUUCAAAAGUGACCCUAGCUCUUUAAGGCGAUUGCUUUGCCAUUGAGGAAUCUUGCCAUUGUUAUAUUCAGCCAUCAAACUUACAAGUACACCAAUUCAGACUCUGAAGAGCAAACUGAUGUAAGGAUGAAGAUUAUAUAAGGGACAGAAGUGAGUUAUUGCUUGCUUCUGGUAAACUCGCAUAACUUGCUUUCCAAUUCUUACCGUUCAUUUACCUGCAAUACUAAUUCCAACAACUUCUUUGGAUUAAGCCUUGAGAAUUUCAUUACAAACAUGGAAAGAAAUGCAUACACAUGGCAGUGUAUCAGCAGUAGGGAACAAGCUAAGACGGGUCAGGAAAGACUCCAGGCAGAAGCUUUGUUGCAAAACAGAAACACAAAAUAGAGAUUUGCCUGAUUUCAUGUGGUUCAUCAUUCAGCUGCUUGAUUUCUCCACUCUUCAUUUGCUUCACAAGAAAAAAAGCUGUUUCCUUCAAACUUGCAAUAUUAGUUAUGAUUCUGCACCAGUGCCACAUGGCUAGUCUACCCAUAACUUCAUAAGGGAUAUUCUGCAGUUUCAAGUACAAAUCAAUUGUCACAAGAUCAACAUCAAAAUAUCUUCUUUACUGAGUCACACUAUAAAUUCUAUCAUGAAUAUUGCCAUUCAAUGAUUCAUAAAUAAAAACAAACGUUAGCAUUGAGAGGUAUUCCUCUCUUACUUGAAACAAUUCCCA
ensembl:lncRNA